CCCUUAGAUGUUCUGGGCCGCACACGCGCUACACUGAAGGAGGCAGCGUGUACUCCUGGAUCGAAAGAUUUGGGUAACCCGCGAAUCUCCUUCGUGCUAGGGAUUGAGGUUUGCAAUUAUCCUUCAUGAACGAGGAAUUCCCAGUAAGUGCAAGUCAUAAGCUUGCGCUGACUACGUCCCUGCCCUUUGUACACACCGCCCGUCGCUCCUACCGAUUGAAUGGUCCGGUGAAAAUUUCGGAUACCGGCAUUGCUGGCGGUUCGCCGCCGGCGACGCUGGUAGAAGAUCUUUAAACCUUAUCAUUUAGAGGAAGGAGAAGUCGUANCA
rnacentral:rRNA from 1 species